GUGGUUGGGUAACUGAGCCUUUUGGUUAGGAAAGUCCAUGCUAGCACAAUCUGUGAUGAUUGUAGUGUUUGCGCCUAGCAAAACAAUAAGCUAGGGCACCUUUUAGGUGACGGCGAUAGAAGCCUAAGUUCUUUAUGAAUAUGGUGUAUAUUGUAAAGUGCCACAGAGACGAGUCUUUUAGAAAUAGAAGGAUGAAACGAUGGUAAACCCCACAAGCUAGAAACCCAAAUUUUGGUAGGGGAGCUUAUUUUAAGCGAAUAAGAAGCUAUAAAAUGAGGCAAUUAUAAUUAUAAUUGUAGAUAAAUAGUUACCGCCUUUUUAAGGUACAAAACAUGGCUUAUAGAC
rnacentral:RNase_P_RNA from 1 species